CUUGCUCCUGGAUUCAGCGGCGGACGGGUGAGUAAUGCCUAGGAAUCUGCCUGGUAGUGGGGGAUAACGUUCCGAAAGGAACGCUAAUACCGCGUACGUCCUACGGGAGAAAGCAGGGGACCUUCGGGCCUUGCGCUAUCAGAUGAGCCUAGGUCGGAUUAGCUAGUUGGUGAGGUAAUGGCUCACCAAGGCGACGAUCCGUAACUGGUCUGAGAGGAUGAUCAGUCACACUGGAACUGAGACACGGUCCAGACUCCUACGGGAGGCAGCAGUGGGGAAUAUUGGACAAUGGGCGAAAGCCUGAUCCAGCCAUGCCGCGUGUGUGAAGAAGGUCUUCGGAUUGUAAAGCACUUUAAGUUGGGAGGAAGGGCUGUAGGCUAAUAUCCUGCGGUUUUGACGUUACCAACAGAAUAAGCACCGGCUAACUUCGUGCCAGCAGCCGCGGUAAUACGAAGGGUGCAAGCGUUAAUCGGAAUUACUGGGCGUAAAGCGCGCGUAGGUGGUUCGUUAAGUUGGAUGUGAAAGCCCCGGGCUCAACCUGGGAACUGCAUCCAAAACUGGCGAGCUAGAGUACGGUAGAGGGUAGUGGAAUUUCCUGUGUAGCGGUGAAAUGCGUAGAUAUAGGAAGGAACACCAGUGGCGAAGGCGACUACCUGGACUGAUACUGACACUGAGGUGCGAAAGCGUGGGGAGCAAACAGGAUUAGAUACCC
rnacentral:rRNA from 1 species